GGUGAGUAAUGUCUGGGAAACUGCCUGAUGGAGGGGGAUAACUACUGGAAACGGUAGCUAAUACCGCAUAAUGUCGCAAGACCAAAGUGGGGGACCUUCGGGCCUCAUGCCAUCAGAUGUGCCCAGAUGGGAUUAGCUUGUAGGUGGGGUAACGGCUCACCUAGGCGACGAUCCCUAGCUGGUCUGAGAGGAUGACCAGCCACACUGGAACUGAGACACGGUCCAGACUCCUACGGGAGGCAGCAGUGGGGAAUAUUGCACAAUGGGCGCAAGCCUG
rnacentral:rRNA from 1 species